CAAGCUUGAGAUGUCUAGUUAUCACAUAUCAAAUUUCAUGUCCAUCUAAUAAAGUAUGAGAAUUUCACAAAUGAAAUGGGAACAUGUGUCACACAAAGUCAACUAUUGACUAGGCAGGGGAGAAAAUCUCAAACAAUUAGGAAAAUAGCUCAAAUAAAUCCAAGAAAAUUCACAUGUGAACUAGACAUACAAGAGUAGGUUCAUGCAAAAUUUGGGGUCAUUUGAAUGUAAGGAAGCAUGGUAAUGAA
rnacentral:lncRNA from 1 species